CGGGGGGAGCAAGCGUUGUUCGGAUUUACUGGGCGUAAAGGGCGCGUAGGCGGUCAGCACAAGUCAGUUGUGAAAUCUCCGGGCUUAACUCGGAAAGGUCAACUGAUACUGUGCGACUAGAGUGCAGAAGGGGCAACUGGAAUUCUCGGUGUAGCGGUGAAAUGCGUAGAUAUCGAGAGGAACACCUGCGGCGAAGGCGGGUUGCUGGGCUGACACUGACGCUGAGGCGCGAAAGCUAGGGGAGCGAACGGGAUUAGAUACCCCGGUAGUCCUAGCCUUAAACGAUGAAUGCUUGGUGUCUGGGGUUUUAUAGUCCCCGGGUGCCGUCGCUAACGCUUUAAGCAUUCCGCCUGGGGAGUACGGUCGCAAGACUG
rnacentral:rRNA from 1 species